GCGGGCGGGCGGCCUGGGGAACCCCCGCUUCCCUUCCCCUCCCUUCCCCUCCCCGCGACGGGGCCACGGCUCGGACCCGGGCGGCUGCCCCGCGGGUGGGGCCGGGCCGGCCGGUCCCGCCACCCUGCCCCGGCGUUGAGCCCGCUGCCCUGGCACCGAGCCGCUCCGUGCCCCUCCGUGCCGCCACGGCCCGGUGCUGGUCCCCGUGUCCGCCCCUGUGGGUCUCCCGGGGGUGUCGCGGUACAUUGCGCGGGGUUUAGCCUUCAGAGCUGCUCCUGUCCCCAGGGAGGGUGUGUGGGACCCUGGCAGCCAGCGCUGGGCAGCAGCUCCCCCUCCCCGCCGCAUCCUCUGGCAAGGUGCGGUGUUUUGGUCCCGGGUCUGCGCUGCCAAGACCCUUCUCCCUCCACGGUGCCGUGAGGUGACAUUGCUGACACCCGUCCCCGCCGCGGGGCCCGGUGGCUCAAGCACCCGUCUCGGUUGUGGCCCAGGGCCGCGUUCCCGGCAGGGCUGGGCAGUGCAGCCCCCGCGGUGCACAGCGAGCGUCACCUGCCUGGGAUGUCACCUGCCGGGCCUCUGCAGGGGCGAGGAUUUAAAGGACAAACCCAGCCAGCAGUAAAAGUGGGAGAACUGUUUGCCAUGACAACCUUCCCCAUUACUGCCAUGAUGAGGCACUACUCUAUGAUAUCAUGAAUGCCACCUCUCCCUCUCUUUCUCUGCAGUGAUAUUCAAAAAAGCCAUAUUUCCCCCGGUUUAGUAAUGACUGAAUGUGCUCCUGUUCUGACUAACCAGAAUACAGCUUAAUUUUAAAGAUGUGGUUUAAUGUAUACAUGUAAUUUAGUUUUCGAUUAGCUGAAGUACUUAGUCCUAAAACUUUACCUGAUAAAAGGUCAGCUAUCUCAUGGAUUAGUUUACAUGAACUGCCUUUGGUAGAAAGCCAGAAAGAGGGACCUCAGUGUGCUUCAGUUUGCCUUCCACUUUUUUUUCAUAGGUUAUUUGAUUGUGAUUUUAUUACAGAGUUUGAUGUUAAGUCAGUUCUUGAUGCUGGCAAAGUUAUGAAGCCCAUACAAGCAGGUAGAUCCCCUGUCUGGUUAAGUUUAUUUCUUAUAAUGAUAUACAUUCUGGAAAUAUGAAUAUUUUUCAGAUGUCUUUGCUACAUGCAGCUGAAAAACAGGAGUGUAACAGGAUCAGUAGAUGGAAAAAAAUUCAUAAUGGUCUGGGUCUGAGCAAGCCAGGGAGAUGAAAGAACCAAUUGUUGAUCCAUGAAUGAUUGAUUCUUCGAGCACCAGUGCUGUCCAGCAUAGCAGCAUGCAGUGCUCUCUGAUGGUACGGAUUUCUCCAUCUGUACCAACAUAGUCUACAGUAAAAUCUUUGGUCUGGGAUGUGUGGGUUUUGUUCCUUGUUCUUGAUUUUUUUAAUCGGGUUGGGAAGAAGUGCAUAGGUGGAAAUAGUAAGUGCAUGUGCGCUUGUUAAAAUAUGCAUGUAAUGCAUAGAACUUCCUGCAUCUUAGUAAUUUGCAAGAAAAAAAAAAUAUAUAUAUUUUUUUUAAAUUUAUUGCUGGUUUGUUUCAUUUGUUGGAGAAAGGCAUGUGUGUGUUCUGUUUCACUUCUCCUUUAAACGAUGGGAUGUUUCAAGCCUAGAGUUGUAGAGUUGUAAGCUGUUGUUAGAACACAUAAAAUACCUUUUGUGUUAUUUCUUUUUAAAUUUUGUUGGUAUUUGUCUGGGACCAUUAUCAGUACAAUGUCACAUUUUCUAAUGGGCAAGCUAUCUUUAAUUCUGAAAAAGAGCAAACAAUUUUGAGUUUCCUUUUUGUGCCUUACUCUGGUCUUGCCCCUUUUUAUGGAUAGAUUCUGAGAAAUAAGUUUUCACUGGGGAGACUGAUGGACAAUAAAUGUCUGUACACACAGACCAACUGGAGACACUUUGGGUAAAACAGCUUUUUGAAAUGUCCUUUGUUACACGUCUGUUACCCUGGAGUCUUGUUCACUGAAGGUCUUUUGGUCAAAGAUGGUAGACUGAUUACUGAAAGUAAUAAGAUGAUACCAUGAUUGUGAAAUUUUAUUUCCUAUUAGACUAGCCAUUAUGUUUUUGUUGUGAGAUUGUUCGAAAUUGCAUGGCGUACAGAUAUUUUGGGUGAGACACUGGAGUGGCAAAAAACCUUCACAACAGAGAACUCUAAUGAUAUUUUUAUCAUUUUACAAUGAUGUUCUUUACAAUGGAAGAAUGAUAGCCUGGUUAUCUGUGUUGUGAAGAGAAGAUGCUGGAUGCUGAUUCCUUAGUGUUCUUGCAAGUCAUAAAGUAUUUCCAAGAGUUUCUCAAAUGGGGAACGUUUCCAAGUUUAUGGCAAAGUGAAGGCAAAGGCUGAUGCACUGAAACUUUUUCGACGCUUGGAAUUCACGUUUCUCACUCUUGUUGCAGCGAGAGCCCUUCCACGGGCUCGGAACACGUGGCGCUGGCAGUCGGGCUCUGUCCCCAGCGAGCGUUUGUCUUUGAGUGGUACUUUCGGGGCCUGUAACAAAUCAUGACACGCAGUGUCUGAGUUAAUGCGUUUCAUGUGGAAGUUGCUUUCAUGCUCGGAUUCAUGGAAAUUCAUGAAACGUUUUAUCUUCUGCAGUGGGUAAAGCUGCUUGAAUAAAACAAGAACUUCUAGAACCUUUAAAGCAGCUGUGGGCUGUUUAAGCUUUGAAAGAGAUGAGCAGUUUCCACUGUUUUGCAGGCCCCAAUUCUGGCAAUAGGAGGGGGAGAAAGAGGAGGCGGAUGUCAGACCUUUAAGAGUGAUUUAACUAGACGUUUUAGUACGGGGGUAACUGUUUGACGUUUGCCACUCAUAUACUUCAUAUGGAUAUAUUUGUUAAAUCUGCCUCAAGAUCAUGCCUUUGAAUUGUCUCCUGUAAUUCAAGCACAAUAUCCAGCCCAGUAGUAUUUAUUCAGAGAAGGAUUGAAGGAAUUCUCCUUCUGUAGGAGUGGCUUUUAUAGCAAGAUUUUACCUCUAUGUCAUUGGUACCUUGUCAGAAAAUCUCAGUUUGUGUAAUAUUUCACAACUGUGAAGUGGUAUCUGAAAGAGAAGGGAAUUCUGAAAGAUAUUUGAUGAGGAGGAAUUUAUCAAAUGACUUAUUCUGGAGAAUGAUAAUGGUGAUUUUCGCUUUCUUCCUUUUUUUCCUCCCAAAAUUUCUAAGAAGGUAGCAGAUUUCUUUAAAAACCUACAAAUGUGAAAAAUUGCCUCUCUGAAUAUUGUGCAGUCACCAGAAUGCCUUUUUUUUUUGUUGUUGUCAUGAUAAGGAGGAACACCUAACAGAUGUUUAUUGCUGUUUUUUUUUUGGAGAAAGAGCAAGAGAAUAAAUGUAAUGUACAGAGGUUACUGUUUGAUUUAUUGCUGAGAGAAAGAUUCAACAUUUUUCAAUGCUUCACAUUUAAAAAUUUGCUUUAAGAAAAUCAUGGCAGUGGGUUCAGCACUUGCAGAUUCCUAGCUCUGUUUGCCUUCAGGACGUUUUUUACAGCAGUGUUAAUGACAACAACAAGUAAAAAUGGUAGAAACCUUAGUGUGUCACAUUCUGUAUCUCAUUUGCAUAUAACCUUUUAUCUGUGCGAGCACCUUGGUGUAUGCACUGUCUAAAUCCUGGGUGCCUGGACUGACCAUAGUCUGGUCUGCACUUACUCUUCACAUCAGCCACAUCUGCCACUGGUUUCACUCUUGAAAAAGCUGCAUGUGCUCAAAUGUGGUUUCUCUGUUUGAAGCAUGAUUUCUGUAGUAAGAGUUUCAAGUAUGGAGCUAUCGUGAGGGGGCACAGGGGAUGUCUUACCACAAAUAGGAUGGUAUGAAGCAAAGUUGAUACCCUGUAAUGACUUUGGCCAAGAGACUGUUCUUGAAACAGAGACCAGAUGGAGAGUUCCUUUGAAGGAAAGACAGUGCUUAAUGAUUAACCCCUCCUCUGUCUUGUCUUUACCUUUCUUCCCCCUCUCACCCUCCCCAGAAAAUGAGAUUUUUUCCCCCUCUUUGUAAAUUCCUGCUGAUGUCACUGGGUCAUUUUUCAUUGCUAGCUCAGAUAGUGUCAUCCUGUGCAACUGUGCAUCACUGAUAAACCUCUUCAGCCCUUUUCAUGGUGGGCCAAUCAUGUUAAUUUUUUGCUGCAUAAUGCACAGGCUCUUAAGAAUUGACUGCUGUUUAAAAAGCUCUUUAUUUGUUCAUUUAUAUACUUUUUCUCCACCUUCUUGAGUGGGAGUCUCUGGAAUGAAAUUAGUUAGUAUUUGUGUGUCUCUGCCUACUGGGUUUUAUAGGAAUUGUGAGAUUUUUAGCAAAAUACAGGAAAGUUUUAAAAUGUCUGCCCUAUAUACCUAAUGAAAUUUUGUUGAAAGGGAGUGCUGGUGUUUUCAAGAGCUGGGGCAUGACGGGUUGCACGUUGUGAAGGAAUUGACCUACAUUCAUAAAAGUCAAGAUACAAGCACUUCAGAAGCAAAUCAAAGAUGUACUAUGUUGCACGCAGACAUUCCUGCUAACAGAAAGGGUAGCCCUUCUCUAAAAAAAAGUCUAUUUGGUUUACAGAAAAAUCUUUUCCAAAAUUUUCUCCUUCCCUCAGCCGCAGUUCCUGCACCGAGGUGAUCUAUAUGCUUUUCAGUACUGUUUGCAUUACUGACCUAAGCAUUUGUCAGAGGUCAUGUAUCAAGGUACCGCUGCAAUCUGGUGCAUCAAAAAAUUAAAAAUAGAACCUGCUGUGGCCUACAUCACUGAACGUGGUGCUAAGCUGCAUGCUGCUGGUGAUGCACACCUCCCAGCUCGCUUUUGUCUUCUGCUGUCAGCUUCAUCUCUAUUCUGUGCUGUGCCCUCCUUCUCAAACAGACACCAUCAUGUUGUACAGAGCCUUCCUAAAGCCUCACUUUCACAUUGUUCACAUUAAAUCACUGAAUUUAUGCUCUUUAUGAAGUCAGUAUUUUCAUAUUUAGCUGUAGAAGCUGUCAAGCACACAUGCUAAGGCUAAUCGUAUUUGAACUUCUAACGAAUUUUAUUAGUGCACUGCACUGUGAUUAAGAUUUUCCUUGAAAGUGAGUUACACAAGAUCAGCAGCCUUGGCUGGGCAAAUUGGUCCUUGAAGCAGAAUGACAAGACGUAAAAUUGUAGGUCUCUGAAAACAAAAGGACUCCUGGUUUAGAGGCAGUUUUUUUGCCUUAGAUUUUACAUGUAAUAAUAACAACAUAUUUAAAAGGAGUGGAAACCUCUCCACUGUGUGGCCAUAGCUAUUUUACAUAAUUUUAUGUGCUUACUGAAGGUUUUUCAGACUUUCAGGCUAUGUUUACUGCACCUUCAGGCCUUGCUUGAGGUCAGAUGGUACAAAAAGCAGUCCUGAAGUUUGGCACCCAUGCACAUAAAACUCCCUGAUGCUUUUUGAAGCUGCUCUCUGUGAUGUAUCGUGAGGCUGGAAGGGGAAUAAGUGAGCAGAGCCUUGUGCUGCUUAAUAGCUGUCCUGGUCCCACCAGCCAGCUGCAGGUCAGACAGAGUCUAAAUAUCUUCCCGUUUAAUAUCUUUGCAAUAUGAUAUACCCUUUAUCAGUGGAAAACAGAAACAGUGUAUAGCUUUUCUCUGAGCUUUCUGUGUAGAGAUGAAUCAGCAUUACUCUUGCUUCUUUUCUUUUGAACUUGGAUAACAAGAGCUUUUAAAAUCUGUUAUUUUUCUAUGUCCAUUCUGAUAUAUGCAAUGAUAUUUUUUACUUCAACCUGCAGAAUAUAUAAUAUAUCAUCUCUGAAAUGUGUGUGAAGAGCUAGUAAAUAUUAAUAAACUUCUGAAAUUCAGUAAUUUGUUAUUUAGAUAGAAUACUCCCAGCAGUAUGCUUAGGUGGUGCCUUCACUGGAGUAGUUAUUACUCCCUCUGUGUCUUCUGUAACCGUUUUGUCUCCUUACAGUCUAACUUGAAAAGCACGUGUUCCAGAACUGCUGAAAUGGACUGUUGGGAUUUUCAUGUUUCACACGGUGAAACUUUUUGCAGAUGUUGACCAACAUUCGGAGAUGGUUUUAUUGAGGUCGACUGCAACUACCUUUGUUGCAGAUUGUGUAGACCUCAUUUGUCAUCAUAAUCCACAUCCUCCAGGCAGUUCAGUUUGAGCGUCAGCAGCUCUUGAGCUUCUUCUGGGAGGAUGAGCUGAAAUUUAGAGCUUUCAUUAGUCUGAACUAAAUGGAGAAAGAACCGGGAAGCAGCAGCAUUGUCCUGAAGACUAGGCCUUAGCUGGUAUAGAAGCUGGCCAAGGAACUGUGGUUGACAUUAAUGGGAAAUUACAAGUGGAAGCUGGUUGGAGAAUUUGCAUCAAAUCCUUUUUUCCCCCUUUUGUUUUUAUUUGUUUCCUUUCUCCUCACACUUGUCACAUUUUUGGCCUGUAAAGGAUUUAUUAGACCAGCUAUCAUUCAGCUAAGACAAGAUCAGCAAGAAUAAUGUACACUUUUUCAUUAACUGAUGUUAUUUACUUCUCUCUUUAUUUCUUCGCAGAAUAACUCUGUUUCUGUUAAGUCUGGCUAAUGUUGUAACCGUUUUACUAAAAUACCUUUUGCCAUCAUAGAUGCAGUUUGCACUGCAAAAGUCUUGCUCUUGUCCUAUAGCUUACGAUGCUUUGAAUGAAAUAUAUUGAGAAAAGCGAUAUUUUUGUCCCUUUGAGUGGCACUUUAUUACUACCUUUGUUGGUGUAAAAUAUUGCAGGAAACUAUAAUGUUUGAAUGCUAGGCCAAGUUUAUGGAGUAGUGCUAAUCCUAAGAUUUAAAGUGUAUUGUUGUCCACCUUGCAGGGUGUUUCCCACACUCUUCUCUCCUGUGGUUCUUAGAAGGGAAGAACACCUGCGCUGGGAUCUGCUUGUAUCUCUUUUUGGAAGAAGAAAGUCAGGCUUCAACUACCGAUUCAUAAUUUUCUGUGAAAUAAAAAACCCCAAACAAACAACACACCCAACUUUAGUUUAAAAAAAUUGUUUCUCAGGCUUUUUUGCUUGCUAGUUGUUUCUUUUUUUUGUCUGCAAAAUGCUUCUUAUACAGCUGUGGCCGAGAUCCAGAAGAUAUCAGAUGGGACGUGCAAAGAUUUACUUUCAACAGUAUUGAAAGUAAUAUGAGACUGUGUUGAAAUUUUAAAAGUUUCUUUUCUUUGAGGCAUUGUUAUUUAAUUAAGAGUGGGAAUUGAUGAAUUAUUCCUGAAUCGAAAAGCUGGAUUGUAAGGAGACAGAAUUGUUACAGAAGAUAAAGAAAAUGUGGAAACUGCUCCAGGUUUUUGUAAAGCCAGGCUACCCAAAAUGGCGUGAUAAGGUGCAUUGUUACUAAGUGAAGAUGUGAGACUGCUGGUACAGGGAUCCUUUUAUAGAUUUGGAGCAAAUUAGUGGAUUACUGGCUUGCUUAAAAUUGUUUCUGCUAUGCAGUUUAUCCCUGCACGUUAGUAUUCUGGGAAAUGGUACCUUUUUGUUGCUGUGUUGUCAUGUGUCACAUCAUCUUCCCGGAUGCUCCCAGCUGAUAAAGGAACUUAUUACCAUCUUUGUUGCUGGGAAGAAUGCAUUGAUUUCAGAUAUUGAAAAUAAUACUGCACGAGAAAGCAACUAUACUUGAUCAGCAAAUAUGUUUUUAAAUACUAUCCCAUACUUUUGCACUUCUGUAUGAACUUUCUAAGGAUGGGGUAAUUUAGGAAUUGUGAGUGUAUGUGAGGUUGUGUAUGUGAAGUGACUGGCAGUAGUUCUGCUUCUGUGCUUGGUGGUUUUGUUUGUGUUUUUUAGUAUUUAUCAAUAGUUCCGUUUUACAUCUAAAUGUACUGUGGUUUCUUUAUCCCCUUUUCUGACCUUCUUCAGGAAGAAGAUUGCGUUAGUUGAAGAUGCAAAGUUGCAGCUGGUCCUGAGCAAGGCAGGACACGCUUCCCUGCUUUGGCUAAAAGAAACUUUCAGGCUGUGGUCAGUGAGCUUUACAACCAGUAGCUGCAUCUCUGAACUACGUUGUGAGCUGUGGUAUUCUGUAAAAUGAUGCAAGUGGUGUGAAGACCUUGAAGAAGGUCUUUCAGCAUUUGAAAUUAAUUAGAGCUCUUGAUUCCUGAGCCGAUGUUGAGAGUUUUAGAUCUUGUCUGUUUUCUGGCUUGAAAAAAGUUGCCUGUAUGUUAUACCAUCAUAUACGCAGUUUACAUUCGGUAGGAUGUAGUCUCUACUGAUUUGGUGUGUGUACCCCUGGAUUUCCUCCUCCUCAAAGAAUUCUAUUAAAAUAACCAGGGUGAAGUAUAGGUUAGAAAAAGUUAUGAUUGAGACCAUGUAGAUAAUCCUAAUAGAAUUUUUUAUUUCUAGAUGGUUGUUUUGUUUAUUAUAGGACUGCAGUCUCCCGUGUGUUUGGGAGAUAGUAUCGUAGCUGUUAUGUCUCAGGAUCUAUAUAAUCUGUUCUAAUACCUAUUUGUUUUGUUUUCAUGUGGAGAUCUUGAAAGGAUUUGUUUUGGUUUUAGUAAGUUUAUGAAACUAUAUAACUGAAAUCAACAGAGAUAAAAUUAAUAAUCGUAAGUCCAGUUAUUGCAGCGUUUUGCCGAACCAUUCAGUGCAUUACUGUGUCUGUACUUAGGAAAAAAAAGAACAGUUUUAGUUCUUCUUAGAAACAAUUUUAUUUCUGGUUGCAAAUACAAGUUCAACUACAGCUGUAGGCAGGAUCUUAAAUUAUUUGGAUCCCUAAACUCUGUAAAGUCUGUUGAGGAUGAUCUUUCUUACAUUUGAAAUUCUCUGCCAUUAUCACUGUAAAAAUAGGGAACAUGAUUAACCUCUUGACAUAAUUGUUCAGAUAUAUGGUCUGAAAUUCUAGUGUUUUGAAUAUUAAAUAGUAAUCACAGGUAGAUCUGUCUGCAUUUGGAAUGGACAUUUCCUGAGAAGAGAUUCUGAAAUGAAGUUAGAGGAGAUUUCUUGUGAUUAGUAUUUUGUUAUUUCUUGCUAUGGGGUUGUAUGUAGUAGAUUAGCAGUUCAGAUGUUAAAAUAAGCAUCCGGAUAAAAUCCAGCUUCAUGAGCGAAUGACGAGAUCUUUUGCAUGUGCUUCUGCUAAAACUACGUGUCAGUCCCACCCGAUGCUCCCUGUGACCGCGGAGCUCUCAGGGGCACUUUGUUCUCGAACCUUUUUGUUGUGACUGUUCCUACCUGGCAGAAAUCCAGAAAACAGUGGAGUGUGAGAAGUUCGUAGAUGCAAUUGCAUUUUAAGCUUUCAAACCAUGCUUUCUGCAAGUAAAUGUCCUCCUUUUUUUGGAUAAACCAUUUGAGAUGGUGUCUAGUAUACUGCUUGGGCAAUAUACAGUUACCCUUUCUGUGUCAGGCUUAGAAAGAAAUGGGAAUUGUUGUAAUUUUACUGAGGGGUUUGUGCACUUUUCAAGGGUUUAGAUGGGAGAAAGAUUCCUCUAGCUGAGGUGGUUCUGGAGAGCCAGUCUGUGAUUAAAAAAAAUAGGUAGUAGGGGAGACCUAAAUGGUUGUUUGGUGGAGAAAAACAGACCAAUACUGCCUUUGAAAGCUGAAGCAGGCAAAAAAAAAUCCACAUAUAAGCAGUGAUGUAAAUUCUGCAUCUCGGAACUUGUUUCCCUUUGGCAAAAUUGAUAUUUAAGUGAAAGGGACGUUGCCAAGUUAAAUUUAACUGGACACGAAUGUUUUGUGAAAAGUAAGCUCUUGACCUCAAGUCACAUUUCUUUAAAAAAUAUUAUAGUAAACAGUUAUUUUUAUAACAAGAAUUUGAAUCACAGUUUAUGCAAUCCAAACGCUGAAGCUUUAUGUUACUCCAUGGGAAUCUGAACUUAUGUUGAACAACUGCUCUUAUAUUUUGGUUGUGUGGGUUCUUUUCUUUUUUUUUUUUAAAUUUUUUCUGACUUCAUCCUUCAGUUUUUACAUAUAAAUUUGUAAUUCAACAGCACUGAAUUUAUGCGUGGGUGUAGGUAGAAAAGGAGAAGAGAUCUUAAGGAAGCCAUCAGCGGUUCUUUUGUCUCUGAUUUUGUGUAGGUGAUCUCAAAACGGGUUCAUGUGGAUAUCAAUAUACUUGUUAUUUGAGAAAAGAAUGUGUGAAGUAUGGUGCUUUUUGAGACUGUGACUUCUGCCGAGCUCGAUGUGCUGAAGAGAAGGCGGCUGUGGGCAAGCUGCUGCCCGAGGGAAGGGGCAUGUGCACUGAGGUCCUGCUCACGGCUCCUUUCUCCCCCAUUCCUGGUGGCCAGGGUUGUGGCUGGGGGCCUCUUCUGUUCCUGGGCUGCUGGAUAACUGCAUGGUGUCCACCCAGCAUGGCAUUUGUCCUUGGGAUAUUUGGGAGCCUCAGGAGUCUCCAGAAGUGAGGGCAGUGCCUCCUGGCUCUGUUGGAAACACAGACUGGGGGUAGGCAGCUGACUCUUACCCCCUCCCCGAACUUUUUUGCGUGUGUGUAUUCUUGAAUGAAAUAUUUGUAGCUAAGAUUUUAUAUUUAACAAGUGUUUUGGAAAAUAGCAUUUUUAAAGUAAGGUAUUAUUUUCUCCUUUUUUGCUUUGUUGCUAAUAUAAUGUUAAAACUAGCUGUGACCUGAAAUAUAAAUGUAUUUCUUUUAGAUCAUUGCCCUCCUCCGUAUCUGUAGCUUCAGCAAGAUUGUCUGAUUUUUCACUUCUUUCCCGUCCCUUUUUGCUGUAUGUGUGUCAGAGUCUGCCUCACCUGCUCCUGCCUGUGCUUCUCAGCCCAACCUUUUUCUCCUCACAACAAACACAAGUUCCCAUGUCUGAUUUCAUCACCACUUCUUCGACCCCUUCUGGUUUGCUGUGCUUUUCGAGCUAUGAAGAGUACACAGCACAUACAGUGUAUUCUAGAGCAGGGUCUGUGUGAUGACUCCAGGAUGGCAUCGUAACUUUCAAUGUUGAUUUCAAAACUCGGUUUUAGAUUACAUCAUGUUUGCCUUUUGACAUUUGCUGUACAUUCCUAGUUUGCCACCUCUCAUGCAUGUUGUACAGUCAAGGAAAUAAAAUAAUCCUUGUUCUCUCAGAUCUGUGUGACGCUUAUACACAGAAAGGUAAGAGUUCUGUGUUUCCCCUGGACUUCUAAGGAGCGUUGAAUGUCUUUUUGAUCUCUAUAAUUUUCUUCAUGACUUUUGGAAAUGUGUGCUUUAGGAUGAAAUUGUGUCCUGGAUUACAAAUAAACCACGGUGCAUGACUUGUAAUUCUUAAAAUAGGUUCUGAGGUUGUGUAGGUUUUUUCUUCUUAAAGUGUAGUGGAAUGCAUGUACACUGAAAAGUGAUUUAGUUAGUAGCAAUAUUAGCAAUUCAAAGAAGGAAUUUCUUGGUAAUUGCCAUCUCUGUAAUUGAUAAUCUGCCCAUGCUUCAAUGUGUCCAGCUGUAUGUAAAUCUUCUCUAAUUACAUAUUUUUGCAUUUCUUUCCUCAUGUAAAUGAGGAAUCUCCUCGGUUGCUAUUUGGGGACUCCAAUGUGAUUGAUUUGGCAUCACCUAAUUGAAAUGCAGGUUCUGCAGCUGAAAAAGGUUUUUCCUUCUUACUGAGGGAGUGGCAUCGUGUGACUUCUGAGUUCUGAGGUGGUUGAUGGUUUGGUGAUGACUGUUCUGGCCAGGGUGUCACCCUGGGGGUGGGCAGGGCUGGCACUGUUGGGGUGCUGGGUCCAGCCCAGCCCUGUCCCACCAGGGGUGAUGGGACCAAGGAGUUUUCAUCUCCCACUUGUGGCCCAUGUCUGGUAGUCUUCGUUCCCUUGGUUUUGUUUGUGGCUCCUGUCCAUGUGAAGGUUUUAUUUUGUGGCUCUGUGGGUCAGAAAGGCUCUCCAGCCCUGUUGUCUACUUGUUCUCGGAAGGAGUGUUUUGCAGAAAGUUGUUGAAAUGGUUGUGAGUUCUUCCAGUGCUCUACUUGCUGGCCAUGCCAGCAGCUCUACAAGCUGCUUCUUCAGUCUAAUCACGCUGUGCUACUCAAACCUGUAGGGAAUGUGACAUGUGAAGUCAGCCUGCUGCCAAAUGCUGCUGUAGCUCUAUGACUUGUGUUAUUUAUGUGACAAAAAUUAGUGGAGGCAUUUAGAUCUCAAGAGAAGGUGCUGACUUGCUUGAGCCAUCAUCAGUUCUUAUGUGGGGAUUUUAAUCCUGUUUUUCAUCAAGGCAUUUAAUGCAGGUGUACCAGAAAUAAGCUGUUGGAGGUAACCUAUCAACAAGGCGGAUGGGGGGAAGAUAAGUCCUGGUAUAACCACUUUGGCAGGGGUGUACUACAUAAUUUGGUAUUAUGAAGCUUCAGUUCAGCAGUGCAAGUAAAGUGUACACUGAAGUCCAUUGCUAGCUGUAAAGCGCUUGUAUUUGCAAAGAUAUUAAAGCAUCUGAGCUUGUUCUUAUCUUGCAGUUAAGUCCUAUGAUAAGUUUGCUAAACAGGGCCUGUGUGAGAAAAACGCAUGUUAAAAUAAUUGAGAACAUGGAGUUUGCUCUUGCGAGAUGCUCAGGAUUCAGGUACUUUUUUUUAAUAUGUUAGAAAAUAAAAGGGAAAGUAUAUGCUGAUAAAGUUUUGUUGUUGAUGUCUUCUAGAGAGUUGGUAAUAUAUAGCUGUAAUCUGGAAAAUAAUUCCAUCCAGGAGCCUGUUUAAUCUCUGGAAAGAUCUCUGCAGCAUCUUUAAAGUAAGAGUCUGACAACAUUUACUUAUCGAUUGAGAAAAACCUAAGACUUGGUUCAAGAAAGCAAUUUUCUGUCCUUGCUACAUGGCAUUACCUCUGUCUGUCUUGCUCUCUGUGUGUGUUUUCUUUGUUUACCCAGUAUAUUUUCAUUGGAUCCUUCUCUUUUGUCUUCUGUUUAUCCCUUUGUGGCAGGGUUUAUUGUUUUCCAACAAGUAAGCUUUCUUACCCUAAGAAGCUGAAGUUAUUAUCCAGGAAUGGGUCAUGAUAGCAUUUUUCAUCCCAUAAAUAAACUUCUGUUUAGUGGGAUUUGUUGGUGGAGCUUAAAACAGAUGGGGGGAAAAGGGCACAGGUUUCCUAUGACAAUAUAUAGCAGUUAGUCACAGGCAUGUGCCUAUGUAUCUUAAAUAAAUAACGAAUACCGUGGUAGUUACCAUUAAUUAUUUCCAUUAGCUUAAUUCCUUUGAUUAAAAGGGAUCGUUAUCAUCUCCAUGGUGGUACAUUGACCUAAUAAACAAUGGAGAAUCAGAAAUUACUUGCAGAUGAAGGUUGUUGUGAUGGACAACACUCUUUAUGUAUUCAUGCCUGUGCUUAUUAAUAUAAUAUAUUAAUAAUGGGUGACUUAUUGUGUUUUCACGCUCAGACAACAAUAAUGCCCUCAGCUCUCUGUUUACCAGAAAGAUGGAAUUAAACAAAAAGGAUUGAUGAGAUUUACAAAGAAAGCUGAAGGCAAUUUGGAUAUUAAAUAAUCUUGCAAAUACUGUGCCAGACUCUGGGAAAAUGAAUUUAUUUUUGAGUUAAUGUAUGUCCUCUUCCCCUUAAUGGCAAUUCUUUUCUUUCCCCGUUACAAAAUACUUUUAUUUUUUAAAGGCAGUAUCUUGAUGCCGCAAGCUAGCACUGUAAAUAACAGUGGGCAUCUUUCAAGCAAAGCAAUCUCCAUGUCAACAAGUAAAUUUGUGAGGGAAUUAAAAGCCCUUGAAACACAUGAGAAGACAUAUGGCAAAUGGGUAGGGAAAUUCUGUUUUAUUCAUUGGUACUACAGACUGUAGUAGGAAUUUCAGAGUUCCUAAAUUGCUUGCUUAAAUACCCUUCUCUCAGCUCUAAAACUCACUUGGGGUUAAAUACUGAUCUGUUGUAAAUACCCUUAACUGAACUCAGUGGAAGUACGUUUAAGAAAAUGUAUCUUUAUUUUCCGAGGUGAUGUAUUGAGGCAGCUCUUAAAACCAAGUUUUGGGAGUUCCUUGAGCACACAGCAGUUUUCUGAGGACUGUAAAGAAAGAAAUUGAGAGUUUUUCUGCCAGUUCAGGUCAAGGUAAAAGUUAAUCUAGUUCUUGUAGUAAAAUCACUGGUUUGAAAGUAAUGUAGUGCUGUAAGAUUUAUGGAAUAGAUUUUAGUUGUAGCGUGAGUUUGGUUUUUUUUUGGUGUGUGUGUGUAUACAUGUAUGUAUAUAUAAAAAAUGCCACAACUAAAAUCCUUCUGUAAAGAAAACAAGGGGUUCUGUGUGAAUGUAGAAGCCAUGGGGGCAUAGUUUCUGCUGGGAACAUAUAAAUCAAAUAGAGUCAAAGGUAACAGCUGAAGACUCUUAUUCUUCUGUGUUGUGGUCCUUAGUUGAUGGCUCAUGUAGGAGUUUUCAUUCUCAGUGCUCCGGGCUGGCAGCUCCGCUGCUGUGGGGCUGGGAAGCGCCCCAUGGGCUCGCGGACCUGGCUGGGACGUGUGUACAACGAGAUCAGCAGCUUCGCUCUUCCGUGGAAGAUGAAUUUAGCAUUAAAUGAUGCAUUUGACUUGCUGUUUUCUUUCUGAGUGAAGUUCAUCUCUACUUAGAGCGUAAUUUAUAAUUGCUCUGAUGGUGGUUACAACCUUGACCUGUUGAAAUCCUUUCUCAGCUUUUCUAACCCAUCAUGGGGUUUAGCAAAGGACAGAUCUUUUUAUUGUCUCAACUAUUUUCUCUCUGAAAGUGUAUUUAAAAGGUAGCUGACCAACUGCUCUUCUAGCUCCUUCUCUUCCUUCAGACUAAGGGUCUCUUACUGCCGACCAUAUUUUCUGAUGAAUAUUUGUUUGUACAGAAUAUGCUAAGAUAUUCACUAUAUAAGGUUGACUUUCAUAAAUGCAAACCAUUUGAUUACUCUGUAAGGUUAAAAACCAAAUGCAAAAUAAACCUUUACUAAAUGUUCUCUCUUUCCAAAAAGUGCCUUACAUAUUUAUCUUUAAGUGUUGUAUUACCAUGUAACAGAGAAUUUGAGAAAUCCCACACUUGGUCAAGAUCAUGUAUCAGAGGAUGUGUGCAGAAACAUCUGCACUGCGCUAUAUUAGACGAAGAGCCUCACAGAACUGAAAAAUACCUCUGAAUGUGUAACUUCUGAAAAAUACCUCUGAACGUGUAAAAGAUUGACAUGGGGAAUAGAGUUGUCAUUGGAUGUGACCCUGUUUUUAAAGGAAAGAUAAUACUAUCUUAAAAAUAUAUAUAAAUGUAUAUAUCUAUCUCUAUAUAUGUAAAUAUAUAAAUUGCUUGUUUAUAAACCUCUGUAUUAGAUUUGGGUUGCCUCUUGUACAGGAAAGUAAGUUAGCCCAUGGGAUUGCUUUGGAGUGUGCUCCUGUAUUCCCAGGCAGAGGGUCACAUUCUGGAGUCCUCCAGAGAGGUGCUGGUAUGUGAGCAGCAAACAUCCUUAGAUAUUUGACAGUUGAAUCUUGCUGGGCCUACACUACAUUGAGGGUCUAUGAGCACACACUGUGACAAGUUUUCUGAGUCAAUUAGAAUGUUGAAAAAUACAAAUUAUUUGUUGUUUGCUUUUUUUUUCUUAACAAAACCCCGAAGUUCAGAAGGAUCAUUAUCACAUACUGCUAUGUUUUAUAAGGACAUGAGAAUCAGAUUUCAAUGUGAAACAUGAUUUUAGUGCUUAUGCGCUAAAAUUACGUGCCCUUACAGACUGAUGUUUGCUUUUGGCCUAAAGGGAAGAGCAGGGGUCGACUUGCCCAGAGCCGGCUGUGGAAAUGGCACAAGCUUUCCAAAAGUAAGUUGUUAGUUUACUUCAGUCCUGGCUUCCUAAUUUCUGCGGGAGCUGCCGGUCAGCCUUACGGUGUCUCUAGUUGUUAACUUUUUUUCCUUAGAAUGCUGGGGGUGAUUUGAGUAUUACAUGGCCUAUAAAUACUUCUUGGUGGGAAUGCAGUGAAACCAUCAGCUGUGCUUCAUAGUCUGGGUUUUCCUGGCCUAGGAGCAGUGUGUGAAGGGGAAAAGAAACUGAAAACAUGAAACUUCUGUUAACAGUUAAAUUUUUGCUGCUCUGCGUGUUGCAUUGUUAGCACACUGAGAAGAGAACUGGAUUUAUCUUGGGAAAUGCACUACUACGGGAUGAAAGGAAGCAUUUGCUUCUAGAGAAGGUGUCUUCCAGAAUAUACUGCACUUGAUUAUAUAGGCAGCUUUAGUAAUUGCAAAAAUUAUGUACUUGAAAGGUAAGUAAAACACAGAUGUUAAGCUAAAGUUGAGAACUAGCCACAUGGUGAAAGCAGAUGUGCAUUUAAAAUCCAGUGGUGCUUUAAACAAUGUUGUAGGGGAAAACAAUCUAACAUUCCCCCCACACCCUGUACUGCACUUAUUCACAAGAUAGAUAUUCAAGGAGGAAGCAGUAUUGCUGUUCGAGACCACAGUCAGGUGUUCAUGCAUUUAUGGUGUUGUUGUUUCGGUUCCCUUUCAUUUCCAGUGAGUAGAAGAACCUUUUCAAAGAUUGCAUUUCACAAAAUAUUAGUGUUCAGAAUAUUCAGUUUAGCAUAGUCAACAGGUGACAUUUUAGACCAUAAUUUGUAUGUAUUUUAUCUAAAGCUUGUCCAGAACACUGAUUAAGAAAAUACUUUCACCUUUUAUCCUCGCAAUUUUGAGCUGGUUAAAAAAAAAUAUUAAUUUCUGUCCAUGUCUUUUGAAUAUCUUGAAUAUCUGAUGAGGAACCCAACAGAUAAAACUUACAAAAUGUUGCACCAUCAGUAUUUUUGAAACUGCCCCUUAUCUAGCUCAAAUUCUGAGGUUUGGCAUCGUGUCCGUUUUUAAUAUGGCUUCUAUCAUCAUUCUAAAGCCAACCCCAAUCAUUUCUGAAAUUGCAGAGGAACCUCUACAUUGUCUGAUGCUACUUCACAAGGUUUGGAUGUGAAAGCAAAUAGACAGCAGGUGAUAUUACUCUGUCAUCUCUCUGUCACCGUUUGCUGUUACUGACUCCUGGCUGCUGCCUGUGACUUCACUGAUGUCUUAGAGGCUCCUUUCUUCAGGUUCCCCGAAAGUGAAAGUUUUAUACACAAGUAAUAAACAACCCUUUGGCGUUCUGCAGCUCUUUGUAUCUAAAGAUAAGACAAAACCAGCUGAUAAGUACCUCCAGUGCAGGUGUACAGCGUGACAUGGAAUAUUACAUGCAAAAUGGGCGUUUUAGCGGAGUGUCCCCGGCCCAGCGUUGUUACUCUCUGUUCAUUCUGUCUCUGGCGCUCAGUAGAUGUGCUCGGCAGCGGUAGCUGUGUCAGGGACAAGGAACAGCAAACCCACCUUGUGUUUCUGCCCGGAGGUGGCUGUAUUGAAUUGGCGGGUGAACAGUCAGAGUCCACUAUUGGCUUUAAUCCUCCUAUUGCUUUUUAACCAGAGCUGGUUCAGUGAUGGGCACUGAAACUCCAGCUGGGCAGAUGGAAAGACAGGAGAAGGCUUUUAGCUUUUAACAAAACGAAAGUCUUUGCUUUGGUGUUUACUAUCCCAGUUCUUUAUUCUAUUUUAGCUUUAUCAUUAGGGAGUGGAAGAAUGUUGCUCUAAUGAAUGAAAAUUGCAAGCAAGUGUUGUUAUUGUUAAUUCUGGUUUUUGUUUAUCUGCUAACCAAGCUGGAAAUGCUUUUUCUUUGUGAGGCUGCUCUUCUGUCAUUUUAAGUUAGCUGUUAGACUAUUAGUAAUUCCAGUUUUAUUUGUAUCACCAUUGAAAUAUUCUUUAUGCAUUCAUGACAGAUUUCCAUGCUUAAAAGAAAAUUUUGUUAUUCAUGAACACUGCUUGUUUUCUUAUUCACUUGGACUUCCUUACCUUAUGCCGACUGAUGCUUAGAAAUCAUCAUAGAUUACUGAAGAAUUGUCCCUUUUCUCCAUGACUGUUCUUCUUUAUCCGUUGUUCUGAGUAGUUGAAUAUUCUGAUUUUGAAAUUAAUGUAUUUUCAGAAGCAUCUUGUUACAACUGAAAUCCUACCAAUUUAUUUCCAACAGUUUCCAUUUCACAUGAUCCUUUAUAGUCCUCUGACUAUUUUCUGCUCUUUGUUGCUAUGUGAAAAACAUCUUUUUUCAUAGAGUAAAUUUACUGUUUGCUGAUGUGCUAAUCUGUCAUAUACUCAUUCUUUUUUUUUUUAAUCCGUCUAGUAACAAUGGCAAUUCCCACAUAUACCUAUUUGCAUAUAUAUAUAUAUACACACACUUAAAAACAUGGAGAAUGGUUUGGCACUUCUGACUGUUUAUAAACUGCAGAAUAUUGAGAACAUUGAGAUCGAAAGUAUUGAGGAUACACGCAAAACACAGCAAAGUGGUACAGAAGCCAAGAGUACUGUUGUGGAGAUACUAAGCAAACAUAGUAUCUCUGUCCCUCCCUCUCUGUUUAUGUAUUUAUUACCCAUUGCUUACUAAAUGUUUUAUAUAGAAAGUUAACAUGGAUGAAUAUUUACAAAAUAGAUGCAUCACCUUGAAAUGUAAGUGUGCUAGAAACUGAGGUGAACAAUGUUAAAAUGCCAUAUUAAGAAACUCAGCCAAACUAAGAAAUACGUGUAUUUGUUUUAAUUUUGGUUGAAGAAAUGAUGCUUAAUCAUGCACUUUUUCUUUUAUACACUUGUGAAUCUGCUAUUUUUGUUAUAAUAAUUUUGAUGUAAUUAGUUAUCUGAAAUUAAUACUUUUAAAAAUAGUUUGGUUACUUUUCUGGUUUUGAAUGAGGACUUCUCACACAGUUAGGAAAGGCCGGGUACACGUGCCAUUUGUAACAAUGCUAAAUCAGAGUGAUGGGGGUCUCCCGUUUUCAGGCGAAGUUUUCUCAUUUUCUGUUGUGCUUCUCAGUUAAUGAACUAGACAUCCACAAAGAGAAACAGAAACCUCCCUGCAAGGAGUUCAACUGCGUGUAUCAGCCAGAAUAACACAACUCUGAGGUACAUUCUCAGAAGUCAGAGGGGACCUGCUGUCUUAAGAGACACGCUUAUUAUUCAGUUUAAGUAACUUGCUGGGAUGGCACUGUGAAAUUAAGAUACAGAAACUCAAUCUUUAAAACCUCUGUUAUAGUAUUUGAGUGUGUGAAAGAUCUGACUGGGCUAUUUUCCUGUCCCCUUUGAAGAAACCAAGUGAUUUAGUAGCCUUCAAGAGUAUAAUUGAAUGGCCUUUUUUCCAGGGAAUUUCAGAUAUGUUAUUUUUAGGAAAACACCUGACAAAUCACAUCUGUAUGCCUUAGCAUUUAAGUGUUUAAAUUGUUAGUUUUGUUUUGCUUAACUAUGUUGCUAGAAAGCGUUUUGUUUUUUUUUCCAUUACAGAGGAGUCUCUCUUUUUCUCUUUAAGGCUGCUCUAGGCUGUUGCGUGAUGCUGUAACGCAGAGACUGUUCAUUUGCUCGCAAAAGUGAAGUCAGAACAGAAUUGCAAGUGUGCUGAGAGCAGAAAAGCUUCAUGGUUAACCCUGGUCUCUGUGGGCACACCGGUCCCUUGGAAGGAGUAUCUUUGUGUGUUUUGUCUAGCUCUCAUCUUUGCUUCUGUGCUAGAGAAACUUAACCCUUUGGUAAUUAAGUUCUUGAACAGAUCAUUUUCCUUCACCAAAUCAAUUUAUUUACAGACUUUUAAACAUUCAAACUCUUGAAAGGCCCAAAUUCUGAUGCUAAUUCCAGAUAAGCCGGUGACACCUGUGCUCAUUUGUCUCAACACUGUAAUCCCUUUUAAGGGCUUGAAUUUUCCUGUUUAAUCUGCGGGCUCACAUCAGUGUCUCCUUUCAAAGCCACUUGUGCGCUCUGAAGUUGAUAGCUGAUAUCAUCUGAUGCCUUUUCCAGAGCUGGCCUUAAGAGCUUGGCAAAGUGGAAAGGGGACUCUGGCAUGCUUUGAGAGAGAAAUUGGGUAGUCUUUCCUUAUUUGCAGUUAAAAGCUCCUUUAUGUUUGUCUGUGAAGUCACUGUGUUGCUGUUGUAGGAGAAGAGUAAUUAUUUUCUCCUUUUUUUGCCACUACAAAUGCUGAAUUAUAGCUUCUUGUCUUUUGGGAAUCAGUUGUAUGUGGACUUGAGGUGGAGACACCUUUAGGGUUCCUCACAUCUGAGUCUUUAUGGGAAGGGAACUAUAUAGGUUCUAAAGUUCAUGUAAAACAAAAACAAAUGGUAAACCAGUUAUGCCUUUUCAGAAAGGUGAAUGGAUAACUAGUAGAGGCUGUAUUUUAUGGUGUGAAGCAAACUCCUGUCUAACAGAGGGUGAAUAAAUAAUUUCUAGCAAGUAUACAGCUUUCAGAUUGAGAGGAAUUGCCGUGUUUGGUUUAGGAGCAAAAGUAGAUAGUGACCAUUAAAAUAUAUGGCAGAUGUGAUAACCAAAGUGUUAACAAUUCUUAACACAUUAUAUUGGGUUUGGGAUUUUUUUUUUCAAUUUGUUUUUCUGUUUUGUUUUGGGAGUUGUAAAAUCAGAGGGAUGCCAAAACCUUAGUAUGUAACUGACCUCUGAAUGGGCAGUAGUGUGUGCCUUUUCUGAAGAGGAGAUCUGGUUUGCAUUUAGUUAUUUGUGCUUGUUUUCUGUGUCUUAGAAAUAUUUUCAGAGGCCUUUUCCAGAGCUAUAUAACGCCAUUUCCACCCCCCCCCCCCCCCCCCCGAUAGUAAUGACUUUAAUGUUGCUUGUACUUAAUCUUUCUAAACUAAUCUCCUGCUUUGAAUGUUUUAACUCAUUUUUGUGUGUGGGUCAUUGAUUUGUGGAUAUCAGAGGCGCGUGUCUCGUGCCUGUCACGUUACACGAGGCCUGACGGGACAGUUCAUGUGAACCCAAGGUUUGCCUUUGGCUGCCCUCUUGUCUGAGGACUUUGCAAAGUCCCUGCCAGAUUUUGACCUGUUUGUAGUGGCUGAGUCCACACAAGUUGUGUGUGCUCUUGAGUUCCUCAGAUAAGUGUUCCUGCAUAUAGGAACAUUGUGCUUCACCUGCGUGGAGAGGCAGGAAAUACCACAGGUGUCUUCAGUGAUCUGAAACUGAGAUCUUGUCACAUACCUGAUGCUUAAAUUAUGUAGCUCUAACAUAUUUAUUCACUCAUUAAAUUGUGCUUGAAAUGAAGAGCAUUUAAUAUUCUCUGAACUACUUUGGUUGGCAAGAAUUUCUUUUCUUUUUUUCCCUCUGAUUAAAAAAAUCACAGAAGUAAAAAAUUUGCCCAACUGUUUUGUUGUUGCAUUGAAAUGUAACUAAUACACUAGAAAUACAUGUGAUUCAGAAUCAAAAUUUAAAGGUAUGUUGUCAUCUUUUAGUUUAUUCAUUAUUCAUUAUUAUAUUAAUUUCAGUGCUACAGAUGGUACUGUUACAUUUUAACUGACAAAGGAGUAAUGAAUUUGUACCAGGAGAUGGAAGUGAAGGACUUGAAUCCCUAUAGAUGAUGCAAGGUAUCUUACUGAUCAGCACAGAAGUAUACCUGUAGUCCAAGGGCUGUAUAUAGCAUAAUUCAACAUAUAUAUAUUUUUCAGUGGAUGCCAACUAGUGAAAAUCACUGUCACACAACAUCAGAAGUAGAAUGCUGAUUGUACUAUGUAAUACAUAAAGCAGGGUCUUCUGUUUCUUGCUUUGUCACAGCUCAAGCAGUCUGGGAUAGUUUUGGCUCAAGCUUUGGCACAAUUGCGCACAGACAUUCUCCGGGGGUCCAACAGCUUUUUAGUCCUUGUAGUUAAACCACAAAGUGUGUGGCAAACUGGACUGUUAUCAUGCUUUACUUCGUACUUAGAGAAAUGUACUGUGAAUAAUCUACUGCAUAAAAAUUAGCCUGCAAAUUUAGAGAUGCGUUGGCUCCCAAAACCUUUCCUGUUCCCUGAAAACAUGCUUGAAUGGGAAGUGUUUUGUAGGGCUGUGUUUAAAUCCCGUUUGAAAAAUAACCAUUUCUAUGAAUCCCUCCAAAUCUGAGUGUCCCCUGCCCCAUCCUGAGUGGGAAAACUGAACAAACUUGAAGUCUUGUUGUUUAUUGUGUGGCUGAGAUCGAAUGAAAACUGUUAAGAGCAAGACAAAGCGCAGUAACUACACUCACGGAGACAAUGACACGUGUUUGUAGCUUGUUGAAAUGAUUUUGCUUUUGACAGGAGUUCUGGUAUUUACUCUUAAUUCCUGCUGCUUUCCCAUAUGCAGCUUAACAGAAAUAGCAUUAUGAUGCUAGAUAAUAAACGUUCUGAAGGCAAUGAGGGGCAAGUUCUCUGUUCCUUAAAGCAAUGCAGACGGAGACCUUCUCUGCCACCAGUAGCUGUGCUAUGAAGUUGUUGGUGCUUUGUUUUUCCUAUGGUGGCUGGUGAUGUCUUUGGUGAGUGGUCUGCCUUCGAGAUCAACGUAAAUAACUCCAUUAAGACAAAAGGAGGAACAGAAUUACAGCAUCUUCCGUCUAUUCACAAUAACCUAAUUUGGCUGUUACAGUUCUUUCUUAAUGUACAAUCAGCUAGGAAAGUCUCCUAAUGCCCUCUGCAGCCUGGGAAUUUUAUCUCCUGUCGUUUCUCAUGAUAGAUUAAUGGAAAUGGGCUUUCCAAGAGCUGUGAAACAGAUGUCAAAAUGCAGCUAAGAACGGUGACAAACUCUGCCUUCUGUGUUUCUUGUUAUCGUUGCAUCUCAGCAUGGUUUCAAAUCGGGAUGAAAGAAACCACGUCAAUGUAACAAUUCCUUUUGCUUCUGGUGGGUGUUCCUUGUAAAUGUGGCCUUCAGAAUAUUUUUGGUACAUUUAGAAAUACGUCUGCUAGAACAGCAGAAGAAAGUUGAUUUGUGUGCGUAGUCACAAGGAGAUGAGGAAUCUCUUGCCUUACAAGCGCUAAUGUGUGUGGUAGGAUAUAUAAGAAAUUAAAAUGUUGCCUGCAGUUCUCCAGCCUUCCUUUCUCCUUCUGUCUGAAAAUGAAAAAUGUUUUGGGAACUUUUUAAAAUAAAUUAGUUCUAAAUUAGUUUACAUUUUUAAUGUUUAUUAAAAGUUGUCAUAUGUGAAAAACUGAAAAUAGAGCUCAGAUCAUAAGGGAUUUAUUAGUCUGGGAGUUUGCGGUUUAGAAAACGUAUAGAAGGUUUAGAAAGUACACUGCGAGUUUGUCUAGUUGUUAGAGGACACUUUCUCCUUGCAUUCUCUUCAGUCUGGUUUUUCUUUACAUGUUACUCUGAAGCUAAUGUGCUUAGGGCUUGGGAAAGAGGAAAAUAAAUACCACCAUACAAAGACUGUGAAAUAGAAACAACCUUAAACAGUAUUCAUAAAGUGUAUUCUGUUGUGAAUAGCCUGAAUUGGUACAGUGUCUUGAUCUAUGGAACAUUUGCACAUACAUUACAGUUAUGGCCUAGAUCACCUGAAGAUAUUUCUAUCCUUAGAGUCAAAUUUAGUGUCUCUUUUCUCUUAAUAGUAUUAGAAUGGGUGAGUUGUUACACUGGAGUGCAUCUAAACAGAGAAUUCCUGCAGUUGCUCAGUUGCCUUAUAACUAUUACGUUCCAGCUAUAAAAGCAGCUCCAUUAUAAUUUCAUUUCUUGCCAUGACUCUGUUCUCAUUUACAUGUUUUUCUUUGCUUUUAAUUAAGAUGCAAGGUUUUAUGAGCCUGUACCAUUUAUGAGGGGAGUUUUUGCCAUUUGUAUCAGUCUGAGCAGGCACAGGCUUUAAAGUAGCAUUAUGUUUGAUGGAGAUUAGAUUGAUGUUAAUUUACCAUGAAGAAGAAGAUUCUGCAGAGUUUACCACCCGUGCUAACUCUCUGUAGGCUUUCACUGAAACAGAACAUUGCUACUAUUAGGUUUGCAAAGAUUUUCAGAGAGCCUCAGAUAAGGAUUGGAUUAUUAAACAGGUUAUUACUUGUGUCAUGGAAGUCAGUGGCUGUGGCCUUAUGUCGGCACUAAGGGAUAAACCCUAUUUCUCCAAAUAAAAUAAAACAUCAGUUUGAAUUUAUAAUAUAAAGGAUUGUUUAUAUGCUUUACUUGAAAUAUUUUUGUAAAAUCAGUUUCUAAAUUGCUGUCUUAAGGAGCGAAGUUUUGAGCCCGUGUGUCACAGUGGAAUAUGUCAGUGGCAAGAGCAUGGCAAGGAACCUCCUGAAAGUGUCUGCUGACUGUCUUGUGGUUGUAUUUCAAAAUCCUGAAGCCUGGGUAUAGGACCCACUCCUGCUUAGUCUUUGCUCUCAGGGAUUUGACAUAGACAUGACUUGCUGCAAAUCAUUUAAUAAUCACUGUUGCAUUGCAAAUGGCUUGGGUAUUUUGAACGGCUUUUUCUUCAGGCAUCCCAUCCAAGCAUAUAUCCUCAUACGUUCCCUUUUUUCUUUGUGGUAGCAAAAUGAAACUGAAGAACGUGUCUACCCUUAACUUUGGAAACGUUCAUCUUUAAUUUGAACACUUAGAAGAAUCACCAGAUCAAUAAAUACAUUUAAAUGUAAGAAUAAUUAAUCUUUGAAAGCAAUUUAAUUUUUAUCUAAAUGUAUUUGUCACUGCUUCCAGCUAUUAGAUUUUACUAUGGCUUUAAUAAUACUUUAUAUUACAUCUACUAUGUAUGUAUGUGCCCCUGCAAUUUGGACUUAUGUUUUUUUUUCCUUAAGAAUCCAGCGCUUAUCGAAAUACUGCUGUCAGUGGUUCUUGGGUGCUCUGCUUUCUCACAUACUGUCUUUGAGUGGUAAAUUUAAUCACUACCAGAGUGGUAAAUCAUAUUUUUAUUUCCUAGUCUUUUAUUCCAUUAAGUAAUCAGUAAUCAGUUUGAAACGCAAUCAGUAAUCUUCCCCAUCCAGCCCAUUUAUUCAACCGCUGUUAUUCCCCACUCUUUCAGAAGGAGCUGGCGGUAUUUUGUGCUUUUUCUCUCCUGUUUGUGUGCUACUCUGAUGAUAAUAGAGGGGAAGUUGUCUGUCAUACAGCCUCUGGGACAUAAUUUAGCCGCAAUAAGGCUUGUCCGUGCUAUCGCUCGUGACAGCCUGUGCUUUGUGUUGGUGCAUUAUCUCUACCACGUAUGCCAUAAACCAACAGAACCUGUGAGAGCCGAGACAGAAAGAAACCAGUCCAAUUUAUAACCUUUCUAGUUCUUAAAGGGAGCUGAACGUAUUUGUCUCAAAGAACGCUUGUAAAUGGCUUUGAAGGGAUGAUGGAGACGAAGGGAAGGUUGUGCGUGUGCCGCAGGGGUCAGGACGCGGUGGGAAGGAGCAGCCUGUGCCCAUGGCCUGGCUCCUGCCCGCAGCCUCGGGAAGGGCUGGCACCGCCACAGCUUUGCCUUUCGGUGUCGGGCCCGGGUUUGGCACGUGAAGAACACGUCUGUCAGGAAGCGGCGGGUGGUGGUGCUACGGGUGCCCACAUCUUGCUCCACGCCUGUUGGACCCUCAGCCAUGGGGCUCAGGGCGACUUGCUCUGCCUGGGGGAGCUGCUGGCUCUGCUCAAGCAGCCACCAUCGUUUCAAGUGACCUGGCCAGGUGAGCUGGCAGAGGUGUGACAGGGUCAGCCACACCUCACCAGAGCACCUGAAGCCAUCCACGAUCCUUCCCGUUCACUGGGUUUGGGGCAGGAGCCCCGGUCUGUGUGUGCGGGGGUGGCCACCGAGGGGCAGCGGGGGCUCCCCUGGCACUGGGCGCUCAGGCACAGGGAGGGAAUCCCGGCGCUCCCAGCCUUUCUCUGGAGAGUUGCCCAGCAGGGAACUUUGGUAUCUUAACACUGUUUCUGCCUUGUUCUGGAAAGGGGUUGUAUUUCUAACUGCGCUUCUGAUCAGGUGGGAAUUGUUGCACAAUUAAAUGCAGCAAUAUAGAGACUACACAGCUCUUUAAAAAAGGAAUAAGAAAAUUGAGACUUACAGUGCUGAUUUGGCCUUAUUUUUUAAUUUUCUCAUGUGUAGAUUAUACUUCCUUCUCAUUUGUUUGAGAUGCUUUCAUUUAUUUUUUUUUUUCCUGAUGGACUUUGGUAUUUGAAGAGUGUGCAGCACAGACAAGCUCGAAGCUUUUUGCCUUUCUUAACCCUGUACAAGCUUAUAUUAAGCUUUGGUAGAGCUUUGGGAUUAAUUAGUUUUCUUCAAGACAAAAUGAGCUAUGCUUAUUAAACGGGGUUUGAAUUUUGCACUGAGGUUUCAUUUUAAUAAGGUGACUGAGGUGUAGGAGGGAAACAACUCUGACGUCUGUCCCAGCUGUUUUCUGUAAAUACAGUUUUUACAGGGCUAAGCUGUGCAUCAAGGCAAUAUGCAAGUUGAAUCUGCUACAACUUUACCAUUUAAAAAAAUAAUUUAAAGAAAGUAUGUGUUUUCUCAAAAGUUAAAGUAAAGUUCUCCAUUCUGAACAUGCUUUUAUUUUUCUGUUUAAUUUUGCUAUCUUAAAAGUGUCUUUGGUUGUAUAUUGAUUUUACUUUGGAAGAUCAUGGUACAUAAAUGAUACUUCACUCUUCUGUGAUUCUAUAAUCUUUCUAACAUGGUGCUAAUUUGUGGCCCGUGGUGAUGUUGUUUUUAAGAUGUACAUUAACUGCAAAUGGUGGUUGGUAAUUGUGGUUUCUGUUACUUUUCUUGCAAACGUCACCUGAAUUGGGGGCGCUUUCUUAUGAUUUCUUAGUGUCACCGCUUGUUGCGCUGCAGAUGAGAAGAACUCAACUCCUCUCGCGCUGUGGACUUCUGUCCUGCUUCAUUGAAUAUGCCUGAGGCUGAGGAAGUACCUAAUUUUUGAUAAAUGUUUGUCUCCUCUUCUGAAAAUGUUAGACCCUAAUACAUAGUGUUCUAGCAGAAGUUGCUUUUAUGGUAAAGAUAGAUGAAAUGGGCAGUGAUUCCUGAGAAGAACAAAAGCUGUGGUAAAUUCCAUCAAGAUCUGAACAAAAGCUUCUAAGUGUUCUCGGAAAUUAAAACGUCCUCCCAUUACUUACCAUAUGGCAUUGGUUUAGAUCUUGCUGGGAGGUCUUGACUGUUCUGUUUCCUUGGUUGCAUGACCCCUCACUUCAGAAGCUUGUUCACAUUAAUAGCUGGCUAAGGGAAGGAUGAACCUUUAUCUUCUUUGGGAUGUACAGGCUUUAAAUUUUAGCUUUAUGGGGAUUCACAACAAGAAUUCAAAGCCGUUUUCCUUCUCAGCUUUGUUGCAAGAAGCAGGGGGACUCUCCAUCUGGGUAACCAACAGUUGGUGUCUCUUUCUGCCCUUCCCCUCCUCACUCUCCUACCCAAAUAAACUGUGAGUGGAUUGGAGAGUAUUUUAAGAAGAAUUCAGGGCCUGAGAUUUCUUUCUGGGAUGAAUUAUGUGGAGAAUAGUUGACAUAAGGAAUGGUUGACAGACUUGAGUGGUUGAAGUUUAUCUGAAAGAAUUAGAGAUCAAAAUGGCUUUUGUAGAUUUUUUUUUUACCCGUUAAUUGUCUACUUUGCAUGUUUUUUUCAUUAUAUAUGAUAUACAGCCUAAUAUUAGUUGUUUUGGUUUUUUUUACAAUGACUGCUGAUAAAGAGGUUUUUGGUGGUGUUUUGUUUUUUUCCCAAACUUCUCAAUUUCAGGAUGUUCUAUCUUUCAGACAUCGGUAUACUUAUCAUCUUCCUUGGAAGAUGCUUGUCAUAAUUUUGAAGCAAAAUUAGUGAAAUAUUUUUUUUAAGAUUCCCUCUCAACAUCUUCUCUCCAACUUCUCCUCUGCACACAUCUUCUUUAACUUAAAUAGUAUUAGGGAAGUUAUAGCCAGGUGGGGAUUGGUCUCUUCUCCCAGGCAGUUAGCAACAGGACAAGGGGGCAUGGGCUUAAACUCUACCAGGGGUAAUUUAGGCUGGAUAUUAGAAAGAAUUCUUUACAGAGAGAGUGGUCAGGCAUUGGAAUGGCUGCCCAUGGAGGUGGUGGGCUCGCCAUCCCUGGAGGUUUUUAAGCUGAGAUUGGACAUGGCACUUAGUGCCAUGAUCUAGUAAACGGACUAGAGUUGGACCAAGGGUUGGACUCGAUGAUCUCCGAGGUCUUUUCCAACCCAGUCGGUUCUGUGAUUCUGUGAUUAGGGGUUGCCCUCAAAAUUUUUUUGGGCACAGUGUAAGAGGAAAUGAACUCCUGCAAGUUACUACGUAGCUGUAUGCCUUUAAUGGCACAGGAAAUCUUUUAGGAUGUGAUUUCAAAGUCCAAGAACAUGCUACACUAAUUGUUGCAUUUUUUGCUUUUAGAUUGAUUGGUCCUGUGAAGUAUCAUGUCUUCUUCUGUUCAGGGAAGAAGUCUUUGCUUCCAUAACACAGAUGCACAUCAGAGCAGCAUUCUCAUUAGAAAUGCACUGAUAGUAUUCUUGAUUCUCUGCAGAUUUUGUUGUUGGAUUAUUUUAAAAUAUUUAGUAGUGUAGAUAUAUAAUACUUUGCAAGGUUGAUAAACUGCCACUCUGACUCUUGUUGAAUAAUUCAUUUAUUCAAUAAGUGUAACUUUUUUGUUUAGCUUAUACAGUUUAUUUGGUAGAAAUACUUGCACAGUAAGAUACUUUCUAACUUGCAAAAAAAUCCAAUGGCAUAUUAGAUGCGCUCUUUAUUAUAUGGGAAAAUAUUUCUUACAGUUCCUCCUCUGCUAUCAUAACCUGCUUUUAUUAUUGUAAUUUAUCAACAACUGUAAUGCAGUUUCAUGAUUCAGAUUGUUAUGGAGUUAUAGACUAUGUCAGUAGGGAUCUCUUCACCUCAAUCCCUGCCAGCUACUGCAGGCCUUUUCCCAGGUGAAAACCAUUAGUCAUUUCCUGAUCACCAACAGUGAAGCAGUUUGAAGAUUUGAGGGGAUGCACCAUGGGCUUCUAAGGUUGCAUGACUGGAAUUUUUAGCCCAAUGCUAAAUCUUUGCUUCUGUCUAUAUCUAGUAACAAAUUAUAUUAUAAUCUUGAUUGGCCACCAUCUUAGACCUAGAUUUAAUGUAGAGGCUUGCGUAGGUGGAAGCUUGGUUUUGCAAAUGAAUUAAGUGGUAUUGUCCACUACAAAAUGAGACCAAGUAGACAGUAUAUUACUUGCUUAUGUCUUGGGACUAAAAUUGGUAUUUACUUCCCUGGCAAGGUUCAUGCUUCCUGCUUCUUCAGGCCUGGAUUAUUUGAGCUCCUACCGUAUACAGCAUUAGUGUGUCUGCUUUUGACUCUUACAUCUCGAGAAACUAUUUGCCAACACCAGAAUACGGGCUUGUGGUUGAAUUGAUUUCUUUUAGUGGAGGAUCCACUUAGCGUGUUGUGUUUCCUAGUGCUUUGGGGUCGAUGCGAUUUAUAGCUAGUGACAGGAGACGGAGAUCGCAGCGAGUGGAAAUCUUUUUGAUGUAAUAGUACACAACAGUGCUGUUGUAGCCAUCCUGUCAUGCUGUCCUGUCUGCUCUGUAAAAGAGCCGUGGCCUUUUAUAGCCUCUUUGUGUUGGACUUUGGCAUCUGCUAAUCGUGUCUCAAUCUGUGCAUAUUGCUGUGGUAUCUGUCUUAGGCCUCCAAGUCAUCUAAGUACCCCUGAUGUGGAGAUUUUUGGUUGGAUUACAUGAAAUCUUGAAGCUGUUUUUCUUUUAAAACACUGAAUUGUGGAGAAAAAUCAACCUGAGGCAAUCAAGCAUGCUGGCAUCCCAUCUUAUAUACCUGGAUGAUUCUUCAAAACAUUCAACGUUCUUUAAAUUUCCAUAUGCCUUUAAAGAGUCUUUAAAGCUGAUAAGGUUUUGUGGCUUCCUGUGCUUCAGAAUCAAGUGCAGGUAAGUAUAUAUACAUUGUUUUUGUCAGACAAACCUUUGUUCUGUAUUCUGCAAUCUGACCAUUUUCCCCUUCUGUAGGGGUUAUUCGGGGAACAAACGCUGGGUGGGAUGAACUGUAUAAUGGGCUGCCCGUGCAUCCUGGGACUCACUUGAAUCCACUUUUCUCACUGGGUAGUUGCUAUUAUUACUAUUUUAAAGAAAGAACUAGAAUUUGAGGAUUGGAAAUGUAUACUUAUUUCGUUAUGGAACCUGCUAUUCUAAAAAAAGUUGACUUAAUAGUAAGAUAACUAUAUUAGAUCCUUGAUAUUUAGAAAGAAUAAUUUAUAGUGGAAACAAUUGAAAUCAUUAAUCCCAAAUUUUUCUCUUUGUUAUACCUUUCUUGGGCAGUUAAGUUCAAAGUUGUUCAUUUGUUUGUAUUUAUGUUCUAAUUUUAUGUUUCUGGACUUACCUGAACUUGUGUACUUUUUCUUGUGAACUGCUGUUUCCUGUGCUUUUAUGAAAGUGUUUGUAGGUGAAGUAGGUAAAGUGCAUGGAGAAAGAAAAAAAGUGUGAGGACUCUGUUGUCUUCCUGUACAUUCACCAGUAAUGGGGUUUGUGUUUUUUUUGGUGGUGGUGGUUGUUGUGUUUUUUUUGUUUUGUUUUGGGUUUUUUUUAGUCACUGUCUCCUCUCUGGAAAGAGGUGUCUUCUUGUGGGUUUCCAGUAACUAUUUCCUAUAAAUACUUGAAAAAUGUUGUGUGCAACCAGUUCCUUUUUUAUGGCUGCUUUUCAUUCUUUGGCCAGACAGAAACCUGCUAAUCUGCUUUGGCUUUGUUUUGUUAUUUGCCCCCGUAUCUUCGGAGUCUUCUUGAAAAAUUAGUUAAUUGAUAUUGAUAGAAUUGGAUAGUCUGUGCCUCGGGUUGUGGAUUUGGGGUGCUGGAGAUGAUGUAUACGUAUCCCUUUCACGUGGGUUCCUUGUGGGGAAGUGUCUGUUUGUCCUCCUGGGCGGCUGAGCUGGGGCCGUGCCGCAGGAGGGACUCUGCUUCAGAAAGAAGCCACACGAGUUGGUAACUUACCGUGCUGAUAGGAUGAGACAAAGCACUCAGGUUCCCUUUUGAUGCCGAUUAUUAUUUGAAAAUCUUUAAACAAAAAAACCCCACCAAACUACCCACAGUGUUUUUGCCGAUGUUGUUCUGAAGCCUUGGAGUGUCUUUGUUUUCAUUUCCACCAGCAGAAGACCACAGAUCGCUGUGUUCUUCUAGGGCAGCACAAAGCCUCUGAAACAUCCGUCUCCAAUUGCCCCUCUGUGCUCACGUCUCCCAGCAGUUGCAGGAAGGGUGUCUGUGAUCUGACCCUUUUUUUUUUAAAUUAUUAUUUCUGACGGUUUGUCUGUUACAUGGGUAUGUGUGGACUGUCCUUGCUGCCUCGGGUUCCCCAUUUCCCGCCGGUGCUCGCUGCUUUGCUGGUCUGGGUUCUCUGCACCUUGUUGCCACAAAUACUUUUUGAAACGUUUGCUUUCUGCUGCGUUACAGGUUCGUUUCCCUUGGGCAUUUUUCCAUUAUUAGAAUGUUGAUGAGAACCAGUUCCUGUUCUCUCCUGGUGAAAUUGAUGUAUCUGGAAGUUAUACAUAUAUUUCCUUUUUCAGGUUUUAGUAAUAAAAGGUUUAAACUCUUUUACGUGGUGCUGCUCAACACAAUUUUCUGUGCUGCCUUUCUCUGCUUUUCCCUAGAGGUCCCAUUGCUACAAUUUGCUCCUUCAUUUUAGUAAGGCAGUUCUGUUUCAUUAAGGAACUUGUUUCUCUUACCAGUAGCCCCAGAUGUUUUCAUCUCUGUUUCUUUCCUUGAGAAAGAGAUCUUUAAUUUUGUAUUAAGAGUAUUCCUAAAAUAAGCACCACGUUUCUGUGGAUGAAUUUGUUCAAUUUCUUGUGGUCAGCAGUAAUUCUACUUGCAUAAGAUGCGUUGUUCUGUUUUGUUACAUUUUAUGAUUUCAGUUGUGCAAGGCUCAAUAUUCUGCUUUAAGUACCUAUCAAGAGAAUGUUGUGUAUUUCAUCUGUCUUAUUCGAAGAUGCUUUUUUUCUUAUUCUGAGUCCUCAAAGUAGAGGAAAAGUACCUUAAAUAUAUAUUCCUGACAAAGAUCUUGUGCGUGUUUGCUUUUCUCAAGCUGUAACAUCCUAUGGAAUGGGCCAUGGUGCUUGUCAGGUGGCAGAGACCUGUAGAGUUUCAGUGAUACUUAAGAUGAAAUAUAUAUAUAUACAUAUGAGCUUCUGCUCAUAGGAAGGAAAAUAUCAGAACUAGAACAAGAGGAAUUGCUGGUGGAGUAAUAUAUAAUUUCCCUCAGAUUGUCUCGUCAGGGCAAGUGCUUUUCCUACAAGUUUGUGCCUGCUGUAUAGAAUGCACGAAACAGCUGCCCGAGGUCUGGUGUGAUUUUUACCUUCUGUUUGGCCAGUGUGGAUCUCAUCAAAGUCAGUGCAUCCUGCGGGAGUGCUGCAGAGGGACAAGCCAGGUCUAUGUAGUCACUUUACCUUUGUGGUCUCCCAUUUUGCAUCUGCUAUGAACUGUUUCCUUUCUCUCUUUUAAAAUCAGUAUCUCUUUUGUGUAUGAGUUUGUUCCGAUUUCAGCUGAAAAAAUGUCAAAGUCCCUUUUGACAUCACGAAACAACUGAGCUAAUUAAAUUGGUUUUCUCUCAGCUUUAGAGGCGCGGUAAGGUCAUUAGGGAUGUUUUUCAGUGGCUCACCAUAGUGGUUCAUUUUGCUAUCUUACUCUGUUUUAAGCAGCCAGCACAGAGUGUGCAUGUGGAGUAACACGGGUUUUACCUCCGUAGAAGAGCAUGUUUUGUGGUUCAGUAGUUAGUGUCCAAAGAGUAACAAAUUACCUUUUCAAGUAUAAGUGAAGCCUGAUGUAAGGAGUAAUUUAAAGGAAUAGAUUUAAUGAGAUAAGCCCACUUUUUGUUUGUUUGAUGCACCGAUAGAAAAUAAAUUUGAAAAGGACUUGACUGAACUUCCAUGCGCUCAAAGCUUGAGUCUCCAAAGAUGAGCUCUCUGACGCAGUAAAUUUGUCCCCUCUGUCCAUGAUUUUCACUACUUAGUGACCACUGAGAGCAGACAGCCCAGCUUUUGUAAGGAAAACUAAAUAUUCGAGUGAUUGUUGACACAUGCAAAGUAGUAACAGGAGCUGGAUAGAAUUAAGUCGGAGCAGUACAAACCAAAAAUACUAAUAGAAGCAUUUUUUAACAUGGUAUGCCAAGUGCCUACUUUCCAGGCUUCUGUUCUUCUAGUGCAGAACUAUCUUUAUUGUAACCAUCUUGAAGUGUUAUGCGAGAUAAAGUUUUUAGCUCUGUUUAUGGGACACAGCUGUCACUAAUGUGUUUUGUCACCUCUGGUGGAAAGGGAACAUUAUUUAAUUUUAGCAUGUCGAAUUGCUGCUCUGGAAGGUAAAAAGUUGAACUAAAAUUGCUGAAAAAUACAUUUGGUGCUGAAAAAUAGUGUUCUCUGUCAGGUGGAAAUCCUUGCAGAACUAGGUAAUCUUUUGAUCAAUUUGUUAAAAUGUGACACUGUUCAAGGCAAACUACAACAAUAACAGCUUAUUACAGCAGUGGAUACUGGCUUACAGCAUUAGAUUUUCAUUUUCUUAAGGUAAGCUAUUGCCUUUAUGCAGUAUUGUGCUCCUAUUCUGAUCUUCACCUGCCCUAUGAAGAGUUCUCCUUUUUUCCCCCUUUCACCCUCUUUUUGUGCAGGUUCCCAGCUGCAGAUGUGCAUCCCCGUGUGCCCAUCGCAGUGUGUGGGGGGUCCUUGCUCGUCCUUCAUGGGUUGUGCUUGUAACCCGUUUGGCCGGCUGAGCCCAGUGCCAGUGUCUGGUUUACAGACCUUGCUGAAGGUGUGUGUUUUUCCUGUUCUCAAUGAAAGCUGGGUGUGGUUUCACAGCGAUGGCCCCAGGGUGUCCUCCUGCGGGUGGCACAGAGUCCCUGUGGUCACCUCCUUGACAUGAGUCUUCUGCUGACCUUCCUUGCCGCUGUAGGGAGUAUUUAUUGCAGGCCAAGUCUGCAUGUGUAUUGGCCCUGAUUUAAAUGAAACCGCAAUUUUUAAUUGCCUUCAGUCAUUGUGCUGGACUUGUAACUCUCUCCAGAAGCAGACCGUAAGGGGGGCUCCUGGGAGGGGAUCCAGCGUCCGGUGCUGUUGAGGGCAACAGUUAAAAUCACAUUGCUAGGCACAGGGAGAAGAACCAGCACAUUUCCUUUCCCUGAUUUGGCCACGAUAACCUAUUAAUAUAUUUAAUUUGUCUGCCAAGAAUCUGGCAAUUUCCAGUUUCCUUGAUCUCCUGGGCAGUAUAUGUUCUGGAUAAACUUGGGUCUGGGUCCAGGUUUACAGUGCCUUGAACUUCUGUGGGGUAUUUGGGUCUGAGGUUUCCAGCUGGUGCUUUCUUUUUGCAGUUUUCCCCCAGUGAUGCUGUCCAGGUGAGAUCAAGUAGUGAAGCCUGGUGUGGGAAGGCAUUGUGUGUGCUGGUUGUGUGCCUGUCGAAGGCAGGGGUGUAAAAAUCCCUAAAUGAACAGGGACAAUGUCUGUCAGUCUUUUGCAGCCCGGGAGGAAGGACAUAGAAUUAAGAGUGGUCUUUAGACUUCUGGAUGUACAUUAUGAAGUACAUAAAUAUAUCUCUAGCAAAAAAAACAGCAGAGGGAGUCGAGCUGUCAGCUCUUUGUCACAGUCUUAGGGUCACUUUGGGCUUGCUCUGAGGUCUUCCCACUACCUCAGAGAUGGAUUCCACCACUCUGUAGGAAAAUGCCCGUGGGACAGCACUGUCACUCACCCGCCACCUCCGUCGGUGACCUGGUGACAAGGGGGACAGUUCUGAGUCAGCUGCUCUGUGAUGUGAAUGUUCAUCUGUCCAGAACUGGCCUGAGAUGGAGGGCUGAUUUCUUGGCUUCUUCUGUGAUCCUUUUGGUAGGGAUACUUUGUUCUUGCAGUUCCCUGUGCCGCUCCGUUUGAACCCUUUGGCUGGGUAAACGGGUUUCUUUUUGGUAAAUAUGGCAUAGCAGUGGUACUGCUGGUCUUAAUGCUCUGGUUUCAUCUGAGCUGCUGACCAGCCACUAGAGAGCCAGUAAUUGGAAUUGAAUGUGAAUGAAAGCCAAAUAUUUAUUUCCCGCACAAAUGGAUAAGGAAAUAAAAAACCAACAAACACUCUUUUAUUUUUAGAGGAAGAUCUCUAAAGGCUGGAUUUUUUGGCUAUAAAGAAAAUAAACAAAUCUACAAAAGUUUUGCCCUAUUUAGUGCAAAAACCCAGGUGACAUUUGUGUGCCUGUAUGUAUUUUGUUUUAACUUACUAUUGUGAAACCAAUGGCAGAUAGAUCUCCAACGCUAAUGUCUGUAUGACACACCAUAAUGCAAAACUUGCCCAUGCUUUGGCUGGCAACGUGAGAGAUUCAUAGGACAAACAUGGUUCAGAACAGAAAUUCCUCAUACAGGUCUGAACCUUACCUCUUUUAAUACAGUGUUGAACACGUUUUGUCGGCUCUUCUGCAUACAGAAAGCCAUUAUUAUAUUGCAUUGAGCUUAAAAUUCGUAACUGUUUCCUAAAUUGUGGAAAAUAUCCUUGCAAGAGAUCAUCAGGCCUGAAUUCAUCCCACCUAAUGAGGCAGGACGUGUGCCUCUGUCAUGUCUAGCAUUUUUUAUUUUUAAAUGCACAUCUGUCUUGUUCAGAGAUUUUUUUUCUCACCUCCGUUUGUAAUGGUAAGCAAACAUUUCAGGCUUCAGAACCGUUGCUAUUUUUACCAGUAACAAAGAAUGAUGUGGCAUCUACAUAUAUAUCUUAAAAAUUUAACUGCUAAUUUAAUAACUAAUAUUGCCUUACAAGGAUGUGUACCUUUUCCAAUAAAGGUAUUGUGACCCAUUUUAGUCAUCUGGAGGAGUGUCAGUGUAGUCUUAAACAGAAAAUAAAAUUUGAACUAUGUAUUUCAAUAUUGCAGUGGUUAUUUCAACAGGGUUAGUAGGGUCUGUCCCCAGCAGAGUUUAAACCUCAGCAAGAUGUUUAUUCUUCUGUCUUUAUAGUGAUGUUCAAUGAGGUUCUGUAAAUAUAUGUUUUUAACAAGGAAACACAUUACAGGUUAGCUGUGAGUUCACAGGCAUUAUGUGUGAUGCUCAUUUCCCUUGUGCUAAGCAUGGAUGACACGUGUGUUGUUGUGAAGAGAUGGCAAAGCGCUCACCCUCAAGACUUGUGUUUCUUAAUUUGUUUUUCUGUUUGAAGGUUUUGGCAUGAUAAUAUACAGCUGAAAUAUUCUGCCCAAGCAAAAGUUUUAAUUCAGCAUAUGUUCUGUCCUACAGAACAGGAGAAAGUUUCAGGUGCCUCAUAAUAAACCUAAGCCUGUCGUAAUUCAGGGCUGAGUGUUACUUGCCCUACAAUUAGCUUAGAAUCCUCGCAGGUGUAACCCUCGAUACUGUUUUCUUUCCCAAAGCAAUUAGUUACUGAGUACAUGUGUUUUCAGAUGUGCCCCUGAUGGGUUCACGGGCUGGCUGCUGUGCGCAUGGGACUCUGUCUUGUUUGUGCCAGUCGUUCGUGCACAAAGCACAGAAGGAACCGGUAACAUAAUGUGGGACUUGCAGGAUUUUUCUACAUCUGCAUUUAUGUGGAUUUUUUUUCCCACCUGCUGUUCAGUGUGUUCCAGCAUUGAAAAAGAAAGUCUUUGGAGACUUAAAUAGAACAAAGCUUCUUUGUCAGAAGAUCCUACAGUGCUAGGUGCCUUAGAAAUGUGGAUAGGUGUUCUGCAGGAGUGCUUAUCACUCAGAAAACUGUUUUGUUCUGCUCAUUCAGUGGGGUAUAAACACCCUUCAUUUAGCCUGAUGUCCAGGCUUGCCUCUUGAAUAUAGAACACUGGGAAAUACUAUUGCUUUGGCUUAGUGCUAGAAAAAUUGGUUGGGUUUUACUAAGAUUACAAAAUAGCAGUGAGUUGGAAGCUGUGAAGGUGUUGGACAGGAAAAAGAUCUAGUGCUUUGCUGUUUGACAUAAUUUGUAACGUGAGUGAUGCCUGUGGAGGUGAAAACCUACAUCUACCUUCUCUUUUAUUUCUUCUUUUGUCUGCCUCUUUUUUUUUCCUCUUUCUCCUGAAAUCUGUAGUCUUGGUAUCUCACAGAAUCACAGGAUGUCAGGGAUUGGAAGGGACCUUGAAAAAUCAUCCAGUCCAAUCCCCCUGCCAGAGCAGGAACACCCAGAUGAGGUUACACAGGAAGGUGUCCAGGCGGGUUUUGAAUGUCUCCAGAGGAGGAGACUCCACAACCCCCCUGGGCAGCCCGUUCCAGGCUCUGUCACCCUCACUGAGAAGAAGUUUCUUCUCAAAUUCAAGUGGAACCUCUUGUGUUCCAGUUUGAACCCAUUGCCCCUUGUCCUAUCAUUGUUUGUCACCGAGAAGAGCCUGGCUCCAUCUUCGUGACACUCACCCUUUAUAUAUCUGUAAACAUUAAUGAGGUCACCCCUUAGUCUCCUCCAGGCUAAAGAGCCCCAACUCCCUCAGCCUUUCCUCAUAAGGGAGAUGAUUCACUCCCUUCAUCAUCUUUGUUGCCCUGUGCUGGACUCUCUCCAGCAGUUCCCUGUCCUUCUGGAACUGAGGGGCCCAGAACUGGACACAAUAUUCCAGAUGCGGUCUCACCAAGAUCAAAGAUGUGGUCUCUACAAGAUCAAAGUCUUGGUCUAAGUGGGCAGUGUAUCUGAUGAUGUAUAGUUGCUCCCAUUGGAGGCUCAGACACAUAGGGAGGAGAAAAGCACCUGAACUGUUUCCUGAACCAUCUGUGUGAAGUUCUUACCAAGACCGGAGAUCAAUAAAAAAUUUUAUAUUAUUAGGUUAUAGUAAUUUCGAUGCCUGUCUCCAUUUGUGUAUGAAUUAUAUGAAGUGUAUAUUCAUAAUAUACACAUUAUUAAAUCAGAUAUGUAGCAUACCAUGAUAUUUUAUAAAUGAAACAUUCUCAUAUCUCUUUCUUUCUCAUAUAUAUGUAUAUAUAUAUUUUUUUUUAAUUUUUAAGAAUGUAUUAAUGCACUUUUGUUUAUGUUGCAGUGCAGAACAUGUGAAGGAGAGGUGCAAGUUUGGUAUGUGCAUUCUCCUAACUUGCUGGUUAUCCAUGGUAGGAGUGCAGGCGGUGUGGGAAGGCUGGGAGCUUGUGAGAGAAAACAGAGACCGGGAGGGGGCAAGGAUCAGCCAGGUCUGCUGGGAAGAGAAUUGAAGAUGCUGCCAGCUGUCUAGGAAGAAUUAAACCGUUUGAAGGGCAGUGAGCAUGGGGAGAUUGGAGAAGCUCCAGAGCAUGUGUGAGAGAGAACAAUGUGCUUAGAAAGGCUGGAGAGAAAAUCCCAUUUCCAGCCACACACUAUUUCGGUUUUAAACAAACUUUUAAAAAUUUACUCACCAUCUUUCUGUUCUUCUACAAACAUACCAAAAGAAUGUAGUGGUUUAAUUGCACAUUAAUAGAUUUUUUUUGUUGUUGGUUUAGGUUUUUUGAGGUAAUUCUUCUCCAAAUGGAGUCAAUUUCUGUUUUGUAUCUCCAGGUUGCAAUGUGCACACAAUAACACCUAAGCGUGAGAUCCAUCUCUGUCAGCUCUGCAGGGAGGCUGAGAUCAUUAGCCCGUAAUUUAGGCUUUAUUUAGCAAGAUGAGUUGAGUGUGAUCCUAGCAGAGGGAUUUUGUUCUUUUUUAGGAAAAUUAGUGAUAAAUAAGUGCAGUUUAGUAUUAUAGUGUGUUCCCGGUUCUCAUGCAUGUUCUUACUGUUCUUGUGCAAACCCCUUUAAUCUUCCAUUUUUCUAGGCCACAACCCUCCUUUAAGCUGCUUUGGAAACACAAAUGUAGCACGGCCUGUCCUUGUGAAAGAAUUGAUGAGGCUUUCCUGUGCCACUCAGCUUCAGCAUCUGUGUGGCUGCCCGGAGCUCCAAAUCUGCCUUUCUCGGAGUCAGUCAUGGUGUUGUGGGUCAUCUCCUCACCCUGGGCCUUUUUGGCUGCCUGAGGCCAUCUGACCGCUGCAGCAAAUGCGCUGCCUGGAGUCUGGGUGAGCACAUCAGUGCCUAGAAGCCAUUGUCGAGUCACCUUUGUGUGCCGUGGCUGUUCCUGGCAUUCUUCUCAGUGUUUAAGCCCUUGAGUGAUCCCUGCCAGUUCAUUUCAGACUGAUUUUGGUGCUGGAGUGACGGAGAUCCAGGUAACUCAGCUGCUGUGGAGUGGGCAGCCACUGAUGCAGCUGCUUUGUGUCUGCUUGGUGCUACGUGUAUUUAUGAAUGGAUGGAAGUGGGUAAAGAAAACAUAGGAAGUAAGUGAACCUAGUGAAGAGAGAGCUGAUGAGUGCUAGAGGAGUAGAGAGAAGUGAAGUUCUCUCUAGUUCCUCUUCUGCUAAGGAAGAGUAAAGAGAGAAAAGGUAAACAUAAAACCAAAGCCCUAGGGCAAGACAAAUAAAUACAAAAAAGGGAGAAGACUAAUAAUGUAACUCUGAAAAAACUACGUCUGUGGGGAAAAAUACUGAACUCUGACUACCGGGCAGGAAACCUAAAUUCCGGAAAAGAUAUCUGAAUAGAUAAUGCUGUAUGUUACUGUAACAUUAGAAUUUGUUGUGGAAGAAAAUAGGACAUCUGGCAAGCAAAGGAAAACUAGCACCGGGAACAGGUUAAUGGGAGCAGACGCAUGGUGGUGUGACUUCCCAGUUGACGAUACAGAAGUAAUUUACAGUGGUUAUCAGUAACAAGGCCACCGACACAGAGGAAAACCAGAUGCCGUUAGUUGAGUAGUUCUCCCCUGUCUUUGCUUCUGAUUGUAUCUGCAGAUUUUGUUAAGACAGGUUGUCUUUAUGGCCUUGUUCCUAAAGGAUAUGAGAAUAAACAUGUAAUUGCUGUUCAGAAUGAACAUUUGUAUUAAAUAGCCUAAUGCAAUUUACGUCAAUUUUUAAAAUUCAAUCUGAACGUAAUUUUGCCUUCAUUGUAAAAUUAUUAGUGCCAAGGGACAUAUUUUAAAGAUUGUGAGGAGUACUUAGGAUCAUUUUAAUCAGGGAUGUAUAAGUCCCAUUAAACAACUGAGCUAAUCUUCCUGCUGCUAUAUGCACAUGUGUUUCAUGAGCAGCAAGUCUAAAAAUGUCGCUCAUCUUAAUAGAUGCUUGUGACUUGCACCCUGUGCUGCUGUGCCCCAUCUUCCUCCCAUUUUCUGAUCUCUUUGAUUGGACUCAGGUGCUGUCCCUGGGCUGGGAAUGGCAGGGGCUGCCCAGCCACCCCUUGGGCUGAACCAUCACUCCGUCCUUCCCCUUAGCCAGGUCUUUAAUGUGCUGCCUGUCCUACACCUGCCUGCCAGCUUUCCCAAAACGUGCAGGCCGGUUGCUCGUUUGAGAUAUUUAGCCUUUUAUCAACAUUUUUGAAGUUGGUUGUGGGUGUAAAAAAUAUUAGGAGAGCGGGCUGAGUGUUAACACAGUUGCGUAUGCCUAGUUUCCUUAGGAAGUUAGCUAAAUAUAGUGUUAUGCUUUAAUAUUUAUCUACAAGCCAAGAAGCUGACAUCAUCUAUUGUCUGUGAACACUGUUUGUGGACAAUAAAAAUAAGCAAGUAUGGCAUUGCUGUAUGUGUCAGUUUAGAAAAGAUGAUAGCUGAAAUUUCCUGACCAAUGUAGUAAGUACUCUCAGUACUUUCAUGCUUAAUUUUUACCCAAAUACAUACUAUAUUUUUUCUUUGUUUCCCUUUUUUUUUUUUCCUUUUAUUUUUCCUCUUUUUUUCCCCCCUUU